AUUGAACGCUGGCGGCAGGCCUAACACAUGCAAGUCGAGCGAGCGGCGGACGGGUGAGAAAGGUAUGGGGACUGCCCGAUAGAGGGGGAUAACUACGGGAAACGGUAGCUAAUACCGCAUACUAUCGGAUAGGCCAUAUGGGAUUAGCUAGUGGGUGAGGUAAUGGCUCACUUAGGCGACGAUCCCUAGCUGGUCUGAGAGGAUGAUCAGCCACACUGGGACUGAGACACGGCCCAGACUCCUACGGAGGCAGCAGUGGGGAAUAUUGCACAAUGGGCGCAAGCCUGAUGCAGCCAUGCCGCGUGUAUGAAGAAGGCCCUAGGGUUGUAAAGCACUUUCAGUCGGGAGGCGUUACCGACAGAAGAAGCACCGGCUAACUCCGUGCCAGCAGCCGCGGUAAUUC
rnacentral:rRNA from 1 species